rnacentral:rRNA from 1 species
AGCAGCCGCGGUAAUUCCAGCUCCAAUAGCGUAUAUUAAAGUUGUUGCAGUUAAAAAGCUCGUAGUUGAAUUUCGGGAUCAAUAUGUUGGUCGUGCCUCGGUACGUACUAGCUUAUUGGUUUCUCCUUUCUGAAGAACCAUGAUGUCAUUUAUUUGGUGUCGUGGGGAAUCAGGACUGUUACUUUGAAAAAAUUAGAGUGUUUAAAGCAGGCUCACGCUUGAAUACAUUAGCAUGGAAUAAUGAAAUAGGACGUUUGAUUCUAUUUUGUUGGUUUUUAGGAUCGACGUAAUGAUUAAUAGGGAUAGUUGGGGGCAUUAGUAUUCAAUUGUCAGAGGUGAAAUUCUUGGAUUUAUUGAAGACUAACUACUGCGAAAGCAUUUGCCAAGGAUGUUUUCAUUAAUCAAGAACGAAAGUUAGGGGAUCGAAGACGAUCAGAUACCGUCGUAGUCUUAACCAUAAACUAUGCCGACUAGG